rnacentral:rRNA from 1 species
AUGGAUCCUGAGUUGGGAGAGGUCAUAGAGGAGGAGGGGGAUGCCGUCGAUGUGAGGGCUGCAGUAGCGGAGCAGAGGAGGAGGAGGAGGCGCAUGCGCAGGCAGAUGGCACGACGUGCUGCCGAGGAGGAACUAGAGGCAGAGUUCAACAGACGCCUUGCGCGCGAGAAAAUGUCACCCAGGAUCAGGAUUGUUGCUCCUAGUUCCGGUGUUCUGAAGAUGGAGACUUCAGACAAAAAUGGGUAUCAGUUGAUGGAAGUUGCCUACCACAUCGACUUUGAUGGUUGCAUCAACCUAACUACUGGGUGGAAGGAGUUUGUGGCAGAGUCUGGAUUUGAGGAUGGUGAUGUGGUUAUGGCUGGAUUCACUAGGGUUCCUUUGCUCUUGAACGAGUGGUUGGCGACAGUGAUACUCGAUUCCGUGGUGGUUAAUGACAACCAUGGUGCUGCUGAGGACAUUACUGAUGUUGUCAAAGAUAUUAAUAAUGGAAUGUAUUCUCUUAACGUUGAUGAUGUUGAUGGCAGCUUGCAGUUGUCUGUUACUCAGUCAUAG